AUUGAACGCUGGCGGCAUGCUUUACACAUGCAAGUCGGACGAGUGGCGAACGGGUGAGUAAUAUAUCGGAACGUACCGAGUAAUGGGGGAUAACUAAUCGAAAGAUUAGCUAAUACCGCAUAUUAUUCGAGCGGCCGAUAUCGGAUUAGCUAGUUGGUGGGGUAAAGGCCUACCAAGGCGACGAUCAGUCGCGGGUCUGAGAGGAUGACCGGCCACACUGUAACUGAGACACGGCCCAGACCCCUACGUGAGGCAGCAGUGGGGAAUAUUGGACAAUGGGCGCAAGCCUGAUCCAGCCAUGCCGCGUGUCUGUAGAAGGCCUUCGGGUUGUAAAGGACUUUUGUCAGGGAAGCGUUACCUGAAGAAUAAGCACCGGCUAACUACGUGCCAGCAGCCGCGGUAAUUC
rnacentral:rRNA from 1 species